UACGGGGGGGGCAAGCGUUGUUCGGAAUUACUGGGCGUAAAGGGCUCGUAGGCGGCCAACUAAGUCAGACGUGAAAUCCCCAGGCUCAACCUGGGAACUGCGUCUGAUACUGGAUGGCUUGAAUUCGGGAGAGGGAUGCAGAAUUCCAGGUGUAGCGGUGAAAUGCGUAGAUAUCUGGAGGAACACCGGUGGCGAAGGCGACAUCCUGGACCGGUAUUGACGCUGAGGCGCGAAAGCCAGGGGAGCAAACGGG
rnacentral:rRNA from 1 species